CUCUGUUCUUGGCUUCUUGCUAUGACAUCGUUCUUCUUUUUCAGGAACUGUGCAAGAUUGCACGCCUGUUUUCAUUGAGAGAUGGACCGGAGAACCGCCAACUGUAGCAAUACAACACCACGUCACCAUAAAAGACCCCUUGAUCUUUGCCAGACUAGUGUGCAAAGAUCUCCGUGCAAAGAUUCAGUGUACGAAAAUAAUCAGUCACGGAGUGUUUUCUGGCUAUAGGCCUGCCAUAUAGACAGAUACAUCCAUGUAUAUUCUGGGUUUUUUUUUCUUCUUUCAUUUUUUCUUGUAAACUUCCGGGCUUUCACGACCCUCUUCGGCAAUAAAUGAAUUGUUGUAUCCAUUUCGUCAAAAAAAAAAAAUAUAGACAGAUACAUACAUGCAUACGCUAUUCAACUAGGAGCUUUUGCUUGAUCUUGCCGACUACUAGUCCAUACGAUAAAUAUUACACUUAUUUUCCUUUCUAAAAUCUGGCUCUUAAUCCUUUGCAAACCUAGCUACUUAGUUAAGAAGCAAAGCAGAAAGCAACUGAAUCAGUCUUCUCCCAGAUGAUCUUCGCUUAUUGCAUUUCGUAUCUCAUUCCACCAACGCC
rnacentral:lncRNA from 1 species